AUUUAGCCCCGGUUGCAGCGUUACCCUGCAGCAACGAGGUACGAGGAAGCGAAGCGUAAAAGCGUAAAACGGGAAGAAAC
rnacentral:sRNA from 1 species